GUGUUGGGGUGCCUCCAGGACAGGGUUGGAAACCACUAAACUAGUUGAUUGGUCUGAACAUCUGUAUUAAUUCAAAUGGACAUGGAAGUGUCUACAGAACUGUAAAUAUCAUUUACUAAGAGAAACUAGAGACGUUUGGGGACCUGCGUUUGCCAGAGACACACCGAAGGAUUACGAGACAUACCAAUUGCCAGUGUAAUUCCAGUGUCUGAGGGUUUCUUCCAGCCGCAGAUGACCAGUCAGGAUCCAGUCUGGCAAGAAGGAAUGAUUUGGAGUGCUGCUGAGCCA